AGUGAACGCUGGCGGCAGGCCUAAUACAUGCAAGUCGAACGGCAGCACAGCUUAAGCUUGCUUAAGUGGGUGGCGAGUGGCGGACGGGUGAGGAAUACAUGGGAAUCUGCCCAGUCGUGGGGGAUAACGUAGGGAAACUUACGCUAAUACCGCAUGCGCCCUUCGGGGGAAAGCCGGGGACCGUAAGGCCUGGCGCGAUUGGAUGAGCCCAUGUCGGAUUAGCUAGUUGGCGGGGUAACGGCCCACCAAGGCGACGAUCCGUAGCUGGUCUGAGAGGAUGAUCAGCCACACUGGAACUGAGACACGGUCCAGACUCCUACGGGAGGCAGCAGUAGGGAAUAUUGGACAAUGGGCGCAAGCCUGAUCCAGCCAUGCCGCGUGAGUGAAGAAGGCCCUCGGUUGUAAAGCUCUUUUGUCCGGAAGAAAAGCACUGGGUUAAUACCCCGGUGUCCUGACGGUACCGGAAGAAUAAGCACCGGCUAACUUCGUGCCAGCAGCCGC
rnacentral:rRNA from 1 species